UCUUGAAACACGGACCAAGGAGUCUAACAUGUACGCGAGUCAUUGGGAUUAUGGAAACCUAAAGGCGUAAUGAAAGUGAAGGUCGGCCUUGGUGUCGACCGAGGGAGGAUGGGCCGCGUUACGAUUCGGCCUCGCACUCCCGGGGCGUCUCGUUCUCAUUGCGAGAAGAGGCGCACCUAGAGCGUACACGUUGGGACCCGAAAGAUGGUGAACUAUGCCUGGUCAGGACGAAGUCAGGGGAAACCCUGAUGGAGGUCCGUAGCGAUUCUGACGUGCAAAUCGAUCGUCGGAACUGGGUAUAGGGGCGAAAGACUAAUCGAACCAUCUAGUAGCUGGUUCCCUCCGAAGUUUCCCUCAGGAUAGCUGGCACUCGUUCGUUCCUCGAGAACAGCGUAUGAGUCUCAUCUGGUAAAGCGAAUGAUUAGAGGCCUUGGGGCCGAAACGACCUCAACCUAUUCUCAAACUUUAAAUGGGUGAGAUCUCUGGCUUGCUUGAACUAUGAAGCCACGAGAUUUCGGAUCAGAGUGCCAAGUGGGCCAAUUUUGGUAAGCAGAACUGGCG
rnacentral:rRNA from 1 species